GUUAAUGUAGCAAACCCAGGUWUUGCAGAAGACCUACCCUUCUUACAGGGGUUCAAAUCCCCUCUCCAACU
rnacentral:tRNA from 1 species